AUAAGAACAUCUCUCUCUUCU
rnacentral:snRNA from 1 species